rnacentral:rRNA from 1 species
AGUGAACGCUGGCGGUAGGCCUAACACAUGCAAUUCGAACGGCAGCACAGUAAGAGCUUGCUCUUACGGGUGGCGAGUGGCGGACGGGUGAGGAAUACAUCGUAAUCUACUUUUUCGUGGGGGAUAACGUAGGGAAACUUACGCUAAUACCGCAUACGACCUACGGGUGAAAGCAGGGGAUCUUCGGACCUUGCGCGAUUGAAUGAGCCGAUGUCGGAUUAGCUAGUUGGCGGGGUAAAGGCCCACCAAGGCGACGAUCCGUAGCUGGUCUGAGAGGAUGAACAGCCACAAUAGAACUGAGACACGGUCAAGACUCAUACGGGAGGAAGCAGUGGGGAAUAUUGGAAAAUGGGCGCAAGCCUGAUCCAGCCAUACCGCGUGGGUGAAGAAGGCCUUAGGGUUGUAAAGCCCUUUUGUUGAGAAAGAAAAGCAGCAGGUUAAUACCCCGCUGUUCUGACGGUACCAAAAGAAUAAGCACCGGCUAAAUUCGUG